rnacentral:lncRNA from 1 species
GGGAGGUUCCCCGAAUUGGAUCUUGACUUCCUGAAUGAGGCAUCCGAUGAUGAAGCUGGACCAUCCGAAGUCGCUGCCGGUCCCCUUCCAACCGGGACCACGUCGACUGCCAUGGCCACCGCUGACGAUCUUUCGGGGUUGCCAACCCCCUCUACUUUUGCCCCAGAGGUCCGGAACCUCUAGUUUUGUAUUUUUCCUUUGUG